CAAUAGCGUAUAUUUAAGUUGUUGCAGUUAAAAAGCUCGUAGUUGGAUUUCGGGUGGGACGCAGCGGUCUCGCAUUGCGUUUGUACUGCUGCAGCCCUCCUUCUUGCCGGGGGCGGCCUCUCGGACUUCACUGUCUGGGGGUCAGAAUCGGCGAUGUUACUUUGAGUAAAUUAGAGUGUUCAAAGCAAGCUUACGCUCUGAAUAUAAUAGCAUGGGAUAACACGACAGGACUCUGGCCUAUCGUGUUGGUCUAUAGGACCAGAGUAAUGAUUAAGAGGGACAGUCGGGGCAUUCGUAUUCCGUUGUCAGAGGUGAAAUUCUUGGAUUUACGGAAGACGAACAUCUGCGAAAGCAUUUGCCAAGGAUGUUUUCAUUG
rnacentral:rRNA from 1 species